UACGAAGGGGGCUAGCGUUGUUCGGAAUUACUGGGCGUAAAGCGCACGUAGGUGGUUUUAUAAGUCGGAUGUGAAAGCCCCGGGCUUAACCUGGGAAUUGCAUCCGAGACUGUCUGACUUGAGUAUGCUAGAGGGAAGUGGAAUUCCACGUGUAGCAGUGAAAUGCGUAGAGAUGUGGAGGAACACCGAUGGCGAAGGCAGCCCCCUGGGUCAAGAUUGACGCUCAUGCACGAAAGCGUGGGGAGCAAACAGG
rnacentral:rRNA from 1 species